rnacentral:rRNA from 1 species
GACGAACGCUGGCGGCGUGCCUAAUACAUGCAAGUCGAGCGAAUCAAAGGGAGCUUGCUCCCUAAGAUUAGCGGCGGACGGGUGAGUAACACGUGGGUAACCUGCCUGUAAGACUGGGAUAACUUCGGGAAACCGGAGCUAAUACCGGAUAGUUUCUUUUCUCGCAUGAGAGAAGAUGGAAAGAUGGUUCUGCUAUCACUUACAGAUGGACCCGCGGCGCAUUAGCUAGUUGGUGAGGUAACGGCUCACCAAGGCGACGAUGCGUAGCCGACCUGAGAGGGGGAUCGGCCACACUGGGACUGAGACACGGCCCAGACUCCUGCGGGAGGCAGCAGUAGGGAAUCUUCCGCAAUGGACGAAAGUCUGACGGAGCAACGCCGCGUGAGCGAAGAAGGCCUUCGGGUCGUAAAGCUCUGUUGUUAGGGAAGAACAAGUAUCGGAGUAACUGCCGGUACCUUGACGGUACCUAACCAGAAAGCCACGGCUAACUACGUGCCAGCCGCCGCAGUAAAAC